rnacentral:rRNA from 1 species
ACAAAAAGCCUAAAUACCUUAAAGGUAUCAGAUCCUGUUUGAUUUUGGAAGCUAAGCAGGAUCAAGCCUGGUGAGUACUUGGAAGGGGGCUGCCAGGGAAUAUCAGGUGCCAUGGGAA